CCUGCGCGCGCAGGUUCCUACCGCUGCGGAGGAGGCAAUGGCGGUGGUGGUCUGGGGGCUGCGGCUCUGGCGGGCCGCCCCCAGUGGCGGGGCUGCCUGGAGGUCUGUGGCCACAUCACCUGCUUCUCAGCUGUCACCGACCGAACUGAUACAAAUGCAGAAUGAUUUCUUUAACAAAGAGAAAAACAGGCAGCUGUCACUAACUCCCCGAACUGAGAAGAUUGAAGUGAAACACGUUGGUAAAACUGACCCUGGCACUAUCUUUGUGUUGAAUAAAAACGUUUCCACUCCUUAUAGCUGUGCCAUGCAUUUAAGUGAGUGGUACUGCAGGAAGUCUAUUCUGGCUCUCGUGGAUGGACAGCCUUGGGACAUGUAUAAACCUUUGACCAAGUCCUGUGAAAUUAAAUUUCUAACUUUCAAAGAUGAUGAUCCAGGAGAAGUCAAUAAGGCUUAUUGGCGUUCUUGUGCCAUGAUAAUGGGCUGUGUGAUAGAGAGGGCAUUCAAAGAUGAAUAUGUGGUCCAUUUGGUCAGAGCCCCAGAAGUUCCAGUAAUCGCUGGAGCCUUCUGCUAUGAUGUUGUUUUGGAUAAGAGACUUGAUGAGUGGAUGCCAACAAAAGAGAACCUGCGUUCUUUCACAAAAGAUGCUUGUGCUUUAAUUUAUAAAGAUCUUCCAUUUGAAACCCUGGAAGUUGAAGCAAAAGUGGCAUUAGAAAUAUUUCAGCACAAUAAGUACAAAGUAGAUUUCAUAGAAGAGAAGGCAUCUCAGAACCCUGAGAGAAUAGUCAAGCUACACAGAUUUGGUGACUUCAUUGAUGUAAGCGAGGGCCCUCUUAUUCCAAGAACAAGUAUUUGUUUCCAGUAUGAAGUGUCAGCGGUUCACAAUAUUCAAGCCACCCAGUCGAGUCUUGUACGAAGAUUCCAGGGUCUCUCUCUACCUGCACACUUAAGAGCACAUUUUACCAUAUGGAAUAAAUUAUUGGAAAGGUCUCAGAAAAUGGUAACUGAAGAUCAAACUAAGCCUACAGAGAAGAGUGCAUCUACCUAGUAACCUCCUCAAAUUUAAAUACUGGGGAAGGAGUGGGUGCACCUGUGAACCUGUCCCUUGAUAAGUUUCCCAGGAGAUAUGAUACAGGCAGUGGA